rnacentral:rRNA from 1 species
AUUGAACGCUAGCGGCAGGCUUAACACAUGCAAGUCGAGCGGAGAUGAGGUGCUUGCACCUUAUCUUAGCGGCGGACGAGUGAGUAAUGCUUAGGAAUCUGCCUAUUAGUGGGGGACAACAUUCCGAAAGGAAUGCUAAUACCGCAUACGCCCUACGGGGGAAAGCAGGGGAUCUUCGGACCUUGCGCUAAUAGAUGAGCCUAAGUCGGAUUAGCUAGUUGGUGGGGUAAAGGCCUACCAAGGCGACGAUCUGUAGCGGGUCUGAGAGGAUGAUCCGCCACACUGGGACUGAGACACGGCCCAGACUCCUACGGGAGGCAGCAGUGGGGAAUAUUGGACAAUGGGCGGAAGCCUGAUCCAGCCAUGCCGCGUGUGUGAAGAAGGCCUUUUGGUUGUAAAGCACUUUAAGCGAGGAGGAGGCUACCUGGAUUAGUACUCUAGGAUAGUGGACGUUACUCGCAGAAUAAGCGCCGGCUAACUCUGUGCCAGCAGCCGCCGUUAACAC